rnacentral:rRNA from 1 species
GAAGGAGGUGGCAAGCGUUAACCGGAAUUAUUGGGCGUAAAGGGUACGUAGGCGGCUGGUCAAGUCUGGGGUCAAAGGCCACAGCUCAACUGUGGGAAGGCCCUGGAAACUGACCGGCUAGAGUGAGGUAGGGGUUGCGGGAAUUCCCGGUGUAGCGGUGAAAUGCGUAGAGAUCGGGAAGAACACCUGAGGCGGAAGCGCGCAACUGGGCCUCAACUGACGCUGAUGUACGAAAGCUAGGGGAGCGAAUGGG